rnacentral:other from 1 species
CGGGCACUGCACUUCCCGUGCCUGAGUCAAAUUCCGGUGGCCUUAAUCAAUUCCGAGGGAGCUGGCUCUGUUCGGAUCGUGGUCCGAUUACCUGGCGCCCACCUGUGUAUGCAGGUCCUCGGGAAUUUUAAUGCUCCCACGGUCGCUGCGGUCCCGUC